UAUGCAUUUCAUAUCUUAUUUCAUCUAAUCAGUGUGCAGUUUGAAUGCAUUAUUUUGUAGCCAAGUCCAACAGAACUUGCUCCAGUGGCAUGCCAAGUGCUCAUACAAGUCUAUUUAUACGCGAGCCAACAGAUAUGACAAGUUCAAGUCACUCGUCUUUGGAUGACGAAGUGACAAACGAAUCAUCUACGAUUUUCCUUCUAAUGGCAUGCUCAUAUCAACUGAGGGCUUGGAGUGCGGAGAAAGCUCAAAAGGGCGAAAGCGUGCACGUGAAGCAAUAAGAUAUGCUAGCCGUACACCAGAACAAAUCCAAGCAAGGCGAGAACGUGUUAGAGCACGUCGGCAAAAUUUAACACCUGCUGAGAAGAAAAAGAUUAAUGCA